GUGCCAGCAGCCGCGGUAAUACGUAGGAUGCAAGCGUUGUCCGGAAUUAUUGGGCGUAAAGCGAACGUAGGCGGUUUCUUAAGAUUGGUCUUAAAGACCGGGGCUCAACCCCGGGAAUGGAUCGAUAACUGGGAGACUGGAGGACGUCAGAGGAAAGUGGAAUUCCGAGUGUAGCGGUGAAAUGCGUAGAUAUUCGGAGGAACACCAGUGGCGAAAGCGACUUUCUGGGACGUUCCUGACGCUGAGGUUCGAAAGCUCGGGGAGCAAACAGGAUUAGAUACCCUUGUAGUCC
rnacentral:rRNA from 1 species